GAUUUCCGGUUGAUCCUGCCGGACCUGACUGCUAUCGGAUUGGUACUAAGCCAUGCGAGUCAUUGUACAAUACAAGGCGGACGGCUCAGUAACACGUAGUCAACCUAACUCGUGGACGUGGAUAACCUCGGGAAACUGAGAAUAAACCACGAUAGAUCAUUAUGCCUGGAAUGGCUUAUGGUUCAAACAGUUUACUGCCAUGGGAUGGGACUGCGGCCUAUCAGCUUGUUGGUGAGGUAAUGGCCCACCAAGGCUAUAACAGGUACGGGCUCUGAGAGGAGAAGCCCGGAGAUGGGUACUGAGACACGGACCCAGGCCCUAUGGGGCGCAGCAGGCGAGAAACCUUAGCAAUGUGCGAAAGCACGACUGGGUCAGUCCGAGUGAUUCCUGAUAAAGGAGUCUUUUGCUUGUCCUAAAAGCACAGGUGAAUAAGGGGUGGGCAAGUCUGGUGUCAGCCGCCGCGGUAAUACCAGCACCUCGAGUGGUCAGGACGUUUAUUGGGCCUAAAGCAUCCGUAGCCGGCUCUGCAAGUCUCCGGUUAAAUCCACCUGCUCAACAGAUGGGCCGCUGGAGAUACUAUAGAGCUAGGGAGUGGGAGAGGCAGACGGUAUUCAGUGGGUAGGGGUAAAAUCCUCUGAUCCUCGAGGCCCCAGUGGCGAAG
rnacentral:rRNA from 1 species